rnacentral:rRNA from 1 species
AACGACUCUCGGCAACGGAUAUCUCGGCUCACGCAUCGAUGAAGAACGUAGCAAAAUGCGAUACUUGGUGUGAAUUGCAGAAUCCCGUGAACCAUCGAGUUUUUGAACGCAAGUUGCGCCCAAAGCCAUCCGGUUGAGGGCACGCCUGCCUGGGCGUCACGCA